UGGGGAAUUUUGGACAAUGGGCGCAAGCCUGAUCCAGCCAUGCCGCGUGCGGGAAGAAGGCCUUCGGGUUGUAAACCGCUUUUGUCAGGGAAGAAAUCUUCUGAGUUAAUACCUCGGGAGGAUGACGGUACCUGAAGAAUAAGCACCGGCUAACUACGUGCCAGCAGCCGCGGUAAUACGUAGGGUGCAAGCGUUAAUCGGAAUUACUGGGCGUAAAGCGUGCGCAGGCGGUUUUGUAAGACAGAGGUGAAAUCCCCGGGCUCAACCUGGGAACUGCCUUUGUGACUGCAAGGCUUGAGUGCGGCAGAGGGGGAUGGAAUUCCGCGUGUAGCAGUGAAAUGCGUAGAUAUGCGGAGGAACACCGAUGGCGAAGGCAAUCCCCUGGGCCUGCACUGACGCUCAUGCACGAAAGCGUGGGGAGCAAACAGGAUUAGAUAGCCCUGGUAGUCCACGCCCUAAACGAUGUCAACUGGUUGUUGGGAAGGUUCCUUCUCAGUAACGUAGCUAACGCGUGAAGUUGACCGCCUGGGGAGUACGGUCGCAAGAUUAAAAGCUCAAAUGAAUUGACGGGGUCAUAGCUG
rnacentral:rRNA from 1 species